rnacentral:rRNA from 1 species
UGCAAGUCGAGGGGCAGCGUAGAUUGCUUGCAAUCUGACGGCGACCGGCGAACGGGUGCGUAACGCGUAUAGAAUCUGCCUUGUACAGGAGGAUAGCCUUUAGAAAUGAAGAUUAAUACUCCAUAAUGCUAAGAGAUGGCAUCAUUUUUUAGUUAAAGAUUUAUCGGUACAAGAUGACUAUGCGUCCUAUUAGCUAGAUGGUAAGGUAACGGCUUACCAUGGCAACGAUAGGUAGGGGGUCUGAGAGGAUUAUCCCCCACACUGGUACUGAGACACGGACCAGACUCCUACGGGAGGCAGCAGUGAGGAAUAUUGGUCAAUGGGCGCAAGCCUGAACCAGCCAUGCCGCGUGCAGGAUGACUGCCCUAUGGGUUGUAAACUGCUUUUAUACAGGAAGAAACAGUCCCUCGUGAGGGGCCUUGACGGUACUGUAAGAAUAAGCACCGGCUAACUCCGUGCCAGCAGCCGCGGUAAUACGGAGGGUGCAAGCGUUAUCCGGAAUCAUUGGGUUUAAAGGGUCCGCAGGCGGUCAAUUAAGUCAGAGGUGAAAUCCUACAGCUUAACUGUAGAACUGCCUUUGAUACUGGUUGACUUGAGUUAUACGGAAGUAGGUAGAAUGUGUAGUGUAGCGGUGAAAUGCAUAGAUAUUACACAGAAUACCGAUUGCGAAGGCAGCCUACUACGUAUAUACUGACGCUCAUGGACGAAAGCGUGGGGAGCGAACAGGAUUAGAUACCCUGGUAGUCCACGCCGUAAACGAUGGACACUAGUUGUUGGGCGUAAGUUCAGUGACUAAGCGAAAGUGAUAAGUGUCCCACCUGGGGAGUACGAUCGCAAGAUUGAAACUCAAAGGAAUUGACGGGGGCCCGCACAAGCGGUGGAGCAUGUGGUUUAAUUCGAUGAUACGCGAGGAACCUUACCAGGGCUUAAAUGUAGAGUGACAGGUCUAGAGAUAGAUUUUUCUUCGGACACUUUACAAGGUGCUGCAUGGUUGUCGUCAGCUCGUGCCGUGAGGUGUCAGGUUAAGUCCUAUAACGAGCGCAACCCCUAUCGUUAGUUGCUAGCAGGUAAUGCUGGAGGACUCUAGCGAGACUGCCGGUGCAAACCGU